AGUGAACACUGGCGGUAGGCCUAACACAUGCGAGUCGAACGGCAGCACAGUAAGAGCUUGCUCUUACGGGUGGCGAGUGGCGGACGGGUGAGGAAUACAUCGGAAUCUACUUUUUCGUGGGGGAUAACGUAGGGAAACUUACGCUAAUACCGCAUACGACCUACGGGUGAAAGCAGGGGAUCUUCGGACCUUGCGCGAUUGAAUGAGCCGAUGUCGGAUUAGCUAGUUGGCGGGGUAAAGGCCCACCAAGGCGACGAUCCGUAGCUGGUCUGAGAGGAUGAUCAGCCACACUGGAACUGAGACACGGUCCAGACUCCUACGGGAGGCAGCAGUGGGGAAUAUUGGACAAUGGGCGCAAGCCUGAUCCAGCCAUACCGCGUGGGUGAAGAAGGCCUUCGGGUUGUAAAGCCCUUUUGUUGGGAAAGAAAAGCAGCAGGUUAAUACCCCGCUGUUCUGACGGUACCCAAAGAAUAAGCACCGGCUAACUUCGUG
rnacentral:rRNA from 1 species